GCAUUUCUGUUUAAAGAUGCCUUAUUUAAUAUAUAUUGUUGAUUCAUGGACAUCAAGCUCGCAGCCAACAGCACUAUGACUCAUGCCUGAAUGAAGCUUAUCUAACACAGGCGUUUUCUCUGUAGGGCACAUCACAGCCUUCUUGUGCUUACAGACAGUAGACAGCACUUCAGUGCUAUGGUUGGGGGUCAUUUUAAAUAGCAAAAUCACCAAGAAAAAGCACAGAAAUGUGAAAAAGGUGGCACUAAAUAGACCACAAAAAGUAUACCUCUUUUCAGUAUCAGGGCUAAAGGCAGAAAGCACAGUGUCACCUUGUUCUCCCUCAGCUGAGCACAUUCAUGUCAGAUGACUUUGAUUUUUUGCCUCUCUGCAUAUCUGUGAAUGACCAUGAAAGCGUGCAUACACAACCUGAAAUUCAUCUUGUUGGUUCAUCAUUCUCUGUGGGGUAUUACAUACAUGGUCUGCUUAUGCUGAGCGCCGUAAUUGUAACCGCAGAGUUGGUUAAGAAAGUCAAUUAUAACAGAAGUGGAGCUCUUCAAACUGGAACUCCAUGAAGACAACUGAACACAUCUAUUGAGCUCCAAGGAAACGUGGUAGUGGCUUAGUCUGAAUUGUGCCACUUCUCCUCUUGGAAAUUAUGCAGAACAGUAAAUCAAAUUUUACAAAUCUACAAAUUCCAUUUUCAGUGAAAUUAGGAGACCCAGAAUAUUCUUGAACUACAAAUUAUGUGUACAUGCUGCCCCAAACACCUGAGGCCAAUGGAAGCUGGCAAGAAGCUGCAUGGUAAAUGGUGAUGGACAAUGGAAAGGAGGUGAGGACGCAGCAGCUGUGGCGGGAGUCUCAGAAAACACAGCAGUGUUCACUUCCAGAGCAGAGGGCCCCAUCUGGGGUGGUAACUCCCAUGAGCAGACAUGAAAUCAGAGUGACCAACUCUUCCUAGUUGCCUGGAACUUUACUGGUUUUAGCACUGAAAGUCCUCUGUCCUAGGAACCUCCCCAAACCUGGGCAAACUGGGAUGCUGCUCACCCUAGAGGAACUGGAACAGAGUGUGCCACCAAAGGGAGGUGGCAAAGGCCUGGGACCACAUGGGUGGCAGAGUACAAAAAGUGCAAGUGAAAAUAGAUCAACAAAAAGUCAGGAUACUCCCGUGGAAGCUGCAGAUGAAGAGAUUGCUUCGCUUCAAACUGCCUGACUGCCAUGGAACCAUCUGGCACAUGCACGUGUGUGGGGAGGUGAGACACCAGCUAACACUAAAGUCUUCAGCUGGUGUGACGGACUUAAAUUGACGUUCUCCAGAGAAAAGAUACAAAUGGCCAACAAGUACUUGAAGAGAUGCUGAACAUCACUAACCGUCGGGGAAAUGGAAAUCGAAACAACAGUGAGAUAUCAUUUCAUACCUUUUAGGAUGGUUAUUAUAAAAUAAAAGAUAAUAGGUAUUGGCAAAGAUUUGGAGAAAUGGAAACCCUUGUACAUUAUUGGUGGGAAUGGAAAAUCGUACAGCCUCUGUGGAAAACAGUAUGGAGUUUCCUCAAAAGAAAUUAGAAUUACCACAUGAUCCAGCAGUCUCACUUCUGGAUGAAGGAGGGAAAUGGGGAGUAGUUCAAUGGGUAUAAAGUUUCAGUUGUACAAGAUGAGUAAGUUCUGGAGAUUUUCUCUACAGCAUAGGGAUUAUAGUUAAUACGGUAUUGUGUACUUAACCAUUUGUUAACAGUGUAGAUCUCAUGUUUUUAGUACAAAAACAAAGUGGCACACACACAAAAAACCUUUGGAAGGUGGUUGAUAUGCUUAUUAUCUUGAUUGUGGUGAUCGUUUCACAGCCAUAUGGAAAUGUUCAAACUCAUCAAAUUGUAUACAUUAAAUAUGUGCAAUAUUUAGUAUAUCAACUAUACCUCAAUAAAGCCAUUGAAAAAUUUAAGCA